AGCUAAUACCGCAUAACGUCGCAAGACCAAAGAGGGGGACCUUCGGGCCUCUUGCCAUCGGAUGUGCCCAGAUGGGAUUAGCUAGUAGGUGGGGUAACGGCUCACCUAGGCGACGAUCCCUAGCUGGUCUGAGAGGAUGACCAGCCACACUGGAACUGAGACACGGUCCAGACUCCUACGGGAGGCAGCAGUGGGGAAUAUUGCACAAUGGGCGCAAGCCUGAUGCAGCCAUGCCGCGUGUAUGAAGAAGGCCUUCGGGUUGUAAAGUACUUUCAGCGGGGAGGAAGGGAGUAAAGUUAAUACCUUUGCUCAUUGACGUUACCCGCAGAAGAAGCACCGGCUAACUCCGUGCCAGCAGCCGCGGUAAUACGGAGGGUGCAAGCGUUAAUCGGAAUUACUGGGCGUAAAGCGCACGCAGGCGGUUUGU
rnacentral:rRNA from 1 species